rnacentral:rRNA from 1 species
UGCAUUAAGCUCCUGGGAGCAUCGAAGAGAGAGUUCGAUUAUGGCUCAGAUUGAACGCUGGCGGGAUGCUGCUUUACACAUGCAAGUCGAACGGCAGCACGGACUUCGGUCUGGUGGCGAGUGGCGAACGGCAUACUAUCGGAACGUGCCUAGUAGCGGGGGAUAACUACGCGAAAGCGUAGCUAAUACUGCACACACCUUCGGGAAAGCGGGGGACCUUCGGGCCUCGCACUGUUAGAGCGGCUGGAUAUCGGAUUAGCUAGUUGGUGGGGUAACGGCUCACCAAGGCGACGAUCCGUAGCUGGUUUGAGAGGACGACCAGCCACACUGGACUGAGACACGGCCCAGACUCCUACGGGAGGCACAUGGGGAAUUUUGGACAACGGGGGAAACCCCUGAUCCAGCCAUCCCGCGUGUGCGAUGAAGGCUCUCGGGUUGUAAAGCACUUUUGGCAGGAAAGAAACGGCACGGGAUAAUACCCCGUGCAACUGACGGUACCUGCAGAAUAAGCACCGGCUAACUACGUGCCAGCAGCCGCGGUAAUGCUGUAGGUGCAAGCGUUAAUCGGAAUUACUGGGCGAAGCGUGCGCAGGCGGUUCGGAAAGAAAGAUGUGAAAUCCCAGAGCUUAACUUUUGGAACUGCAUUUUUAACUACCGAGCUAGAGGCCGAGUGGAAUUCCGCGUGUAGCAGUGAAAUGCGUAGAUAUGCGAGAACACCGAUGGCGAAGGCAGCCUCCUGGGAUAACACUGACGCUCAUGCACGAAAGCGUGGGGACAAACAGGAUUAGAUACUUCCUGGUAGUCCACGCCCUAAACGAUGUCAAUCAUUGCUAGCCUUCGCCUUGGUAGCGCAGCUAACGCGUGAAGUUGACCGCCUGGGGAGUACGGUCGCAAGAUUAAAACUCAAAGGAAUUGACGGGGACCGCACAAGCGGUGGAUGAUGUGGAUUAAUUCGAUGCAACGCCAGAAACCUUACCUACCCUUGACAUGUCUGAAUCCCGAAGAGAUUUGGGAGUGCUCGCAAGAGAACCGGAACACAGGUGCUGCAAGCGGCUGUCGUCAACGCCGUGUCGUGAGAUGUUGGGUUAAGUCCUGCAACGAGCAACCUUGUCAUUAGUUGCUACGAAAGGGCACUCUAAUGAGAUCGCCGGUGACAAACCGGAGGAAGGUGGGGAUGACGUCAAGUCCUCAUGGCCCUUGCGGGUAGGGCUUCACACACGUCAUACAAUGGUCGGGACAGAGGGUCGCCAACCCGCGAGGGGAGCCAAUCCCAGAAACCCGAUCGUGGUGGUCCGCUGGAUCGUGGCCUGCAACCUGACUGCGUGAAGUCGGAACUGCCAGUAAUCGCGGAUCAGCAGCACAGCGGUGAAUACGUUCCCGGGUCUUGUAUGAGCACUGCCUGUCACACCAUGGAGUGGGUUUUACCAGAAGUAGUUAGCCUAACCGUAAGGAGUGGCGAUUACCACGGUAGGAUUCAUGACUGGGGUGAAGUCGUAACAAGGUAG